GUCCCUGUAGCGCAAUGGAUAGCACGUUAAACUUAUAAUCCAAAAGUCGUGAUUUUAAAUGUCAUCUGGGAUG